rnacentral:lncRNA from 1 species
GCUUAGCAUUGUGAGAUUAUAUAUGCAUAUGAACUUGGUUGAUAACUCUAGCUUGAUUAGAGAGAUAACAUUGGAAAAUGAGAAUUGAUAACUCUAGAAUGAGUAGAAUGCUUAAUUGGACAAUUAGUAUGUGAAUUAGAUCGAGUGGCAUCUAACUUAGUGUUAAGGAACAUAGGUCGUGAGUAGACCUAGAAUCAAAUAGAUCGAGUGGCAUCUAACCUAGUGUUAAUAAACAUAGGUCGUGAAAUGAAAAGUACUUAACCUAGAGUCAAGUGAACCUAGGUUNNNNNNNNNNNNNNNNNNNNNNNNNAAGAGAGAGAUGCUUACAUUCCCUCACCGAUGACGUCGAAAAGAUAUUAAGGUUCAUCUGGAGUAGAAUUGUCAAGAGGACUUUUAAUGAGUUAGACAAGGCUAUGUCGGCUCCUAAUUCUUGCCCUCCCAUUAAAUGGGUAAGGAUUUGUGAUUUUCAGUGAUGCAUCGUACAGUGGUUUAGGUUGCUCGUCAUGAUCAGCAUAAUGUAGGUAUUGUUUUAUUGCUUCUGACAAUUUGCAAGGAUUACGAGAAGAAUUACCCUACCGCACUAGACUGGAGCUUUCCGCAUAGUCUUUGCUUGUGAAGUUGGUGGCGGUAUUACUUUAUUGCGAUCACUGCGAGGUUUCACUGAUCAUAAAAAGCGUUUCAGUCAUCUAUUCACCAAAAGGAGUUGAACCUGAGGCAACGCCGGUGGUUGGAGUUGUUGGAAGGACUAUGAUAAUUAGUAUUAGAUAUCACCCCGGCAAGGCGAAUACGGUGGCAGAGAUGCGUUGAGAAGAAGGUAGUGGGCAAGCUUGAGCAAUGAUUGAUUACUCACAGAGGGCCGUACUUUGGAGAAGCUGCAGGCGGUUGAUGCUCCAAGUAGUGUCCCCUGGGUACUGCAAUACUGAUGGUUUAUGAUUCUUGGAGCACGCACUCUUGUUGUGAUCAGUGAUCAAGGGAGUAAGCAGAGUGGAGAUUCUGCAUUUGUUGAGAAUGUUGAAGCAGUUUGGAGAGGGACAGGCAGAGGUUUUUUCUGUGGACAGUUCGGGAGAGAAUACAAGUACAAGGGACUGACUGUGUAUGAACAUAUCGAACUUCUAAAGUUCAUGAAGUCACGGUGUAUGUGGGCUGGAAAAACUAUUCUGAAUGGUCGCGGUAAGGUUCGGUGAAUGUUCGGAGCUUUUUGGGCUUUUCGUGCGCGUAGGCGGCUGAAAAACUGGAACCCGAAAGCUAGUUGGCCGGAGCUAAUUCGGCAUUAGCGUGGAUGAAAAGAUGAUGGAGACAUGUUCGAAACAUGUUUGGAGAAGUAAUAUAUAUGGAACCCAGAAGGAAUUAUCGAACUUAGCACAAAUUGGCUAAAGCUCGAAUAAGAUGAAUGCGACGAGUUCCAGUUAACGUUCCCAUCAAGGUGGAAGGCAUAAGAUGAUUCUAAAAGAUUAGAAAGGUUUUUAGCGUUGUCCGGCCACGAAAUAGAGUCGAAAACUAAGCUAAAAAACCAAGUCGGCAGCAUUGUGUACCGUAACAAGUGAUUGGUUGUACCUGUACAAGCAAGCAACGCCGAAGAAAUGCUAACUCUCGGAGUUUGAGUGAAAAGACUGUAAAGCCGGUGACCACGGGAAAGUGUACGCGGUACACAUGUUGCAGAAAAUGCAAGAUUUGGUCUGCUGCAAUUAAUAUAUUGAUUGGAGGGGUUUUAUUUUGCAAAUUGUACGCUAAUGUAAGUAAGCCCUAAAACCCCUCUCCCUCACAGCAGAUCUCUGCUCCUCUCUCCCUCCGUGUCUCUCCCUCUUGUUAAGGGUAUCGUGUCUCUCGACUCUCGCUCUCACCUGUUGCAAGAAAAAAGAAGGAAAAAGAAAAAAAGAGAAGGAAAAAGAAAAGAGAUAGGAAAAAAGAAGACAAUGAUGGAGAAAAGAAGCUACCUCGCAUCUUCAGUCUUCCUCAAUGCAUUUGAGAGCCUUGGAAGGUAAGCCAUGCGUCCCCUCUCAUGGUGGAUUAGGGUUAAGGUUUUGGUUUUUAAACCCCUAAUACUAGAGAUUUGGAGCUUCUAGCAUGAUUAAGAUACCAGUGUAAAGACCUAUAGACACAUGAAAUCCAUGGUGUUCUUGUAGUCUCUAAUGGUGGAAUCCUAGGUUUGUUCUAAAUGCCCUAGCGAGUAUGAUUCUAAUGAGAAUAGAAACAUCCAGUUUAGAGAACUUCUUGGGUUGAUCUAAGCUCGAUUAUCUUAGCUAUGAGAUCAAUCCCAGAAAUUGGAUUAUGCAUGUAGGCAUCGAAAUUGGCAGCUUUUUCGCCGGGUGUUUCUAAAGGCAAAUUGGUCCUUGUACGAAACCUAAUUGGGGACCUAACGAAGCGUGAAACGCUCGUUCGGCAAUGCCGACGAGCGUAACCGAAGUUAUUGACGAAACGGUCGGUUUGUACAGAUAGCCGCAGCACAGCGGAAUACAAGGUCUAAAAAUCAUGAGACGGAACUGGAGCACCUUGGAGUCAAGGAAUUAAAUCUCCAGAGGAGACGGAUCGGCCGGUUCGGAGGUUCGUUUGGAAGUCGCCAUGAGUUCGGGCCAACCGGCAACGGUUGCCGCGGAAGCCGAUUGCAAGUGACUAAAACAAGCAAUCGGACCACGGUGUUAAGGGUGGGUUGUUGUACCAAAGCGAUUAGGUCGCCAUUUAUGUGCUAAGAAUUAAGUAAUACCAUGGUAUGCAUAUAAAUGUAGAAUGAAGCAUGUAAAUGAUGCCAUGUACGCUAAAUAAUGCCCUGUUGAUAGUAUGAUGUAAAUGCUAAGUAGAUGCAAUAUAAAUGAUAUAUGAGAUUAUAAACCAUGAUUACAUUCUGAGAUUAUAGAUGCAUGCUUAGCAUUGAGAUUAUAAUGCAUAUGAACUUGGUUGAUAAACUCUAGUUGGAUUAGAGAGAUAACUAUUGGAAAUGAGAAUUGAUAACUCUAGAAAUGAGUAGAACUAAUUGGACAAUUAGUAUGUGAAUUAGAUCGACGUGGCAUCUAACUUAGUGUUAUGGAACAUAGUCUGAGUAGACAACUUAGGAAUCAAAAUAGAUUCGAGUGCAUCUAACCUAGUGUUAAUAAACAUAGUCGUGAAAUGAAAAGUACUUAAACCGUAGAUCAAGUGAACGCUGGGGGUUUGGUAAAGAAACAAUAAUGAUCCUAGUGUAAAAAAACCUAGGUUAAAGAAUGUGAAAGCAAUAACGCUAAAUUGGGUGAAGCUUAGGUUGAGUAAAGGGCUUAGACGCUAGAAGAGUCCAGUUCCAAAGGGUUUUAAGACGCAAACCCUAUGUGAUGUGAAAUGGAUUCGGAAUCCCAAGCUAAAAGGAACACCACGCCAAAGUGGUGUCGGGAUGUCGUGCGACGAAUUUCGCCGCCCAGAGGUAGAGAACCAUUGUCGUGGCGUGUGUGCGAGCGAUUUUCGCCGCCGGAUGGUUAGCUCAGUUUGGGAUACCUACCGCCGUUGACUGAACCACUGUCGUGGCGUGUGCCGACGAUUUCGCCGCCGGUGGCAAGUCGUUGAACCUAGGACCGUUGUUCGGGUGAGGUGGGGCGAUUGUUCGCGCGCAGACGGCUAGGACAAGUACGGUGAGCUGUUGCUAGCUGAGGUGCAUCGUGAAGAGUUACUUUAAUCACCUUCGAGCUAGACAGUGCGCGGACAUAUCCGCGAUUGAAUUGACUCAAACCGAGUCGGGUGGCUUUGUUGACUAAUUGUAAAGUGACCUUAAGUAAGAAAAAAAAAUGCCCAAAGGCUAAGAGAUAGCAUGGUUUCAAGAUGUUAAGAGUAAAGAAACAACCUAAAUCGAUAAUGAAUAGCUACAGCAGUAAAGUAGAUGGCUAAGAUAAUGAAUAGAUAAUAGAAAGGAAUAGCUAAGAGCUACAAAAGUAAACAUUAAAUGGCAAGGAGUAAAGAAAUGAUUAAGAACAUAAGUAGUGUUAACAGUAGACCUAUCUUGCAUGAAUUACAGGUAUUGCAUACUGCAACUUUCGGAGGCAUGACCUGUAUUUCAUCAAUUGAAUAUAUAUCGUGUUGUAAUAUUGUUGAUCUAACAUGUUUGCACGUGCCUCGGUAGAGACUGUUUUUGGGCUUUUGACUUGUUCUCUUGGUUGGCUAACCCACUGAGGACUAUGGACAAUAGUCUCACCCCCUGUUCUGUUUUUGGGUAGCAGGGUACACACGUGUGCGGCGCGGCGCGCGCAAGGCGAGGACGUAGAUCUGCAGAUAGCGUCCAUAUCCCAGAGACUGAGAAGCAAUACCCGAGUUGGUGUCUAGCUUGGGAAAGGUUUAAAAAACAAAGACAAACUUUUGUUUAAGUUGUAAAAGAAUCUGUAAUGAUUAUGAUUGUAUAUUGGCAGGUUAAUUGUAAAAGAAAAUUAUGUUGAAAAUGGCAUCUAAGUGAAUUGCGUAAUAACUAGUUAGUUAUGUUUUUGAUACUUCCGUUAUGCAAUCUGUGAAUGAAUAUUGUUUCCUGUUUGGAAGCCGUCUCGUAUUAUUUUGAUUGCGACGCCUCUGGACUACAGGGAAAGACUCUGUCCGUUCGGGCGUCUGUCGCGGACCCGCGACCCGCCAAAAUUGGGCCGGUGGUCGCGGUCCGUGACAGAUAAGAAAUGGUAUCAGAGAAUAAAGUAGAGAAUGAAAAUGGGUUUAGGCAACCUAGAGAACGCCUAGGUAGUGGAAUACCUUUAGAGGUUAAGAGCUGCGAUGAGAGACGAGGAUUUGUGACUUAUGGCGAAAGAUGAAUUAAUUGGGUCAAGUGUUGAAACGCUCUAAACGGAUUAUUGGUGGUAGAUUCAAGUGUAUGUUGAUUCUCAACGCGAGGGUGUUCAGUUUUGGGUGCACACAACAUGAAGCCCGAGCGAUGAGAAUAGACGGCCUCUUAGUGUGACUUUCGGCCCGAUUGGCUUUUAAGCCGGUGUUAAUGGACUCUUCUCCGACCCAAGUUGGUCGAGAACACUAAUUCACAGUUGUCGGUUUGCAGGAAGCGAUGGACACCGCGUAGGAGAACUCGCACCAGAUCGGUGCGGGAGGGACAAGUGUGGAUUCCGCGAGCGAAUCCGACGCUAGCGAACUCAGAGCUCGUGAUCAGUUGGCCGACACUCGUAGGAGUGAUGAGGCAAGCAAGCUGAUGUAAGUGCAGAGGCAGGCAGAGCGCUGCUAGCGUGCCAGAGAAACAAAAUUGAAAAGACUCCAAAGAGACGGUGGACUCAGCUGGUGGAAGCACCAGCUGCGUGCUCGUCAGGGACGGCCGAGAGUCCGCGGGGCGGAGAAGUGUUUCGUCGGGGUCGGGUGAUCCACUCCGAUUUAGUUCAGAGGUGGCGGCGCGAAAAGGAUGCGGCUUUGGCGCCCUCAUGGCUUUCAAGAAAUUUGAUCCGCUGCCUUGAAUGGUGAGGACCCCCCCCCCCCGCCCCGCGGCAAAGAAGAAAAAAAAAAAAAAAAAAAAAAAUUAAGGAAGAUCCGUGGUCAAUAGAGAUAUGGGUUGAUUCCAUGGAAACGCUCUUAGAGGAUUUGUACACGUUGGGAGGCGGGACAAGGUAAAAACCUAGCGCGCAUGUAUUCUCAAACAAGUCGGCGAAGGUGUGGUGGAAAGCGUCAAGCGUGAUCGAGUCGCACUAGUCCCGCCUCCUAUGAGCUUGGGAAGGUUUCGGGGAUUGGUGUUCAUCAGCUUCUAUUUCUUUUCUCCGACAGUAGAAAAGCGAAAGCUUAAAGGAAAGAUCAGAAGUUACGGCAAGAGGAGAUCGCUCAGUAGGCUCGAGCGGAGUUUUUUCCCGUAUCGUGCAUUGUGUCGCCCAAACUGUACGGGAUGACAAGGACAAGGCUACUGCUUUUGUGCGUUGGCUUUCGGCCGAUCUUUACCAGGCUGUGCUCGUAUCUAAGAUACAUGACUUUUGCUGAGGUCUUGGAUCGGGCCUCUGUGGAUAGAAAGGCAAUGCCUUUUAUGCGGGAAACGAGAGGCAUAUUACAAGAAAAAGAGGAAAAGACGACCAACAGGUGGAUCCAGUGGUCAGUCCAAGUUCGCCAACGGCUUCGACGACUUUCGCACUCGCGAUCCCGAGUUGCUCCGGGACUACCGCAUUCGGUCCUCGGCGAAGUCGUGCUAAUUGUUGGAGCCUUCAUUUUCCACAGCAGUGUGAGCAGGCGUGAGGCAAGUGCUUCAAGUGCUGGCUGCGGCCAUAAUGUCGGGAUGAGUGUCCGCUGUGUGAUGGCCGGCCUUGGCACUGGCGAUGGCCCAUUCCUCUCCUGGGACAACCUGGCAGGUGUGCCACCUGCGUUAUGUCGGGAGAGCGGCCCCGUUGAGUGACGAUGCAACCAGAGGUCGCCGACGAACCCCAGUUGCAAUGGAUAAGCGACCCGAAUUGCGGACCACUGCGCGCUACGACCGUCAUCGUGGCAGGUAUGAGUUAAAUUGAGAAAAAUGUUGCUUUUACUCAUACUCAAGCGUGCAAUAGCAUGCAUUUAUUUGUUUGGUCGGUUGCUACUAAUUUAUAUAUUGCAUUUAUGCAUAGUUGGGUAAGUAGACACACAGUACAUGCACUACAUUGUGAGAAGUGGCACCUGCUGGUGCAAUAGAAAGCCAGUGGUGCUAGCUAAUGGCUAGUGAUGAUUCUCCGGUAAGCAAUGAGGCUCGUGGAGAACGUGGUCUAGUAAGUGACUCUUAAUAAUAAAUGGAUUGAAAAUUGUGGAAGAGUUGAGCUUCGAUGUUGAGGAUACCCGCGAAAGACUGCGGAGUUGAUACUGUGUUCCGAUAGAUCGACAGUGAGUAGAAUCACUGUUGGUGGAGUAGUCGUGCAGAUUUGACUGACCGGGCCCGUUGCGCUAGUAUAUCGCCAGUUGAGGUGGACGAGUUUGCUCGUGUAGUGGAUUGGAACGUGCAUAGGCAAGCGGGCCUGAUGCCUGGACUUUCUGUUGCAUCCUGUAGAAGCGUAGCGGCUCUAUGUUACUCGCGAGGUGCGGUUUCGAUCUCAGCACAGCUUGAGUGAUUGGCAGUAGCAUUAGCAGGCUAAGUGUGAAACGGCGCAUUGAUCAUUCAUGGGGCUGGGCCGCACAAGUGCUAAGAGAGUCGAUAGUGGUAACUUGAGCUGCUGUAGAGCAUGUGUGUAGGUGACGACGUUGGGGGCCUAGUGCUUGGGAACGACCAGUUGGUCUGGAUCACUUGUGACUGUGAGCUUGACCCAUUGGGCAGGCGCCAGUCACGCUGUGAGAGACAGCGGCGCCGGUACCCUAUUGGUAGGCGAGUAGUUUGGUCAGCUACGGUAUCCGAGCUAGACCCGAGUACGUGGAAUGUCACGUGUUUAGAGUGCGAGAUUAGAUACAACCGAGUAUGUAGUGACCUCAACCCAAGGAUUAGAUUGGAUUGGGGUCUGAUAGCUCCUGGUUGAGUGGUGUGCGAGUUCCUCCAAUGAGAAAUGUCGCCCACUGAUGAUUGUGGUCUACUCUUGCGAGCGAGAGACGCCUAGCCGUCUUGAAAGGGAUCGGGAAUUCUUAGUUGGUAGGCCUCACGUAGGGUGGGAGACUGUUGGUCCACUCCUAGAGACUAUGGUCGGUGGCGACCGAUGACCCCGUGAAUGCAGCUUAGGCCGCAGUUGCGAACGAUAGGGUUUCGUGUUGCAAAUUCACAUGUACGGCAGUUAGAGAUGAUGUCGAUCGUGCUUAUGGUAUUUAAAGGAUACAAGAGAAACCGCAGUGUCUCUUAUAAGCCUUGAGUGAAUGGACGCCAACGUGAGAAUUGGAGUUGGUGACGUCUCAAGUUAGUGAUACGCAAGUGGAUAAAUGCUCUCAAUGGGAAUGACAUUGAACGCGCGAAGUGUGCCUCCUCGUGAUAGAGCAAGAUUCGAUUGAAGAAUUGGAGGCACUCAAUGAUGUCCGAGUCACGCAACGAUAAUUGCGUUAAUAAGCAAUGCCGUGAUCGAAAUCGGAGUGGAAUUCCUGAGGGAUUUACAUGUAACGCAAUGGAUUGGUUCGCCAAUAAGUGAAAGGCCAGUUCAAAAGUGAACAAAGUGGGAUUGAUGCCCUCAACUUGUUUCGACUACAGUCCGAAUUUGAGGCGCGGUUUAAGUUUCCGCGACGAAACUCAUUUUUUAGAGGGAGAAUGUCAACAUACGGACUCAAAAAAGUCAAAGUUAAUGAAGUUACGGUGUAUGUUUGGCUGGAAAACUAUUUGAAUGGUUCCGGUAAGUUGGUUCGGUGAGAGUUCGGAAGCUUUUGGCGUUUCGGUGCGCGUCAGGCGCGAAAACGGAAACCCGAAGUACUGUGGUGGCGUGAGCUAAGUUCGGCAAUUAGCGGUCGGAUGAAAAGAUGAUGGAAGACACUGUUCGAUAACAUGUUUGGAAAUGUACAUAUAUUGGAACCAGAAGGAAUUAUCGAACCUUUAGCCAAAUUGGCUCAAAGCAUGCGAAUAAGAUGAAGGACUAGUUCCAAUUGAACGUCCAUCAAGGUUGGAAGGUUAAAGAUGAUUACUAAAAGAGUAGAAAGGUUUUAGCGUUGUCCGGAUCAUGAAAUAGAGUCAAGGCUUCUGUUAUCUUGAAUAUUAUCUUCUUUCUUUUUUAUCAGCUAAAAACCAAGUCGGAGCAUGGUUACCGGUACAAUUUGAUGUUGUACCGGUACAAGUUGAUGUGUACGCGGUACAACAAGCAACCCGAAGAAUGCAACUCUCGGGUUUGAGUGAAAAAGGCUGUUAACCGUGACACGGGAAAGUGUACGGUAACACUUUGGCAGAAGGCAAAGAUUUGGUCUGCUGGCAAUUAUAAUUGAUUGGAGGGGUUUAAUUUGCAAUUGUUACGCUAAUGUAAUACCCUAAACCCCUCUCCUCACACAGAUCUCUCUCCCUGCUCUCACCUCUCGUGUCUCUCCUCUCCCUCUCACCGUUUGGACAAGAAAGACAGAGGAAAAGAAGAAAAGAAAGGAAAAAGAAAAAGAGAAGGAAAAAGAAAAAAGGAUGAGAAGAAGAAGCUCUACCUCCAUAUUCAUCUCCUCAAUGCUUGGAGGAGCUUGAGAGUAAGCCAAUGUGUCUCCUCUCAUGUGGGAAUUAGGUUAGGUUAGUUUUUAAACCGCUAAUACCAAGAGAUUUGAGAGCUUCUAAGCAUGAUAACCAUAUAGAGACCUAUAACACAUGAAAUCAUUGGUGUUCUUCGUAAUGUCUGCUAAUGGUGGAAUCUCUAGGGUAUGUUCUAAAUGGCCCUAGGGAUGUUCUAAUGAAUAGAAACAAGUUUAGAGCAACUUCUUGGGAUUCUGAAGCUCGAUUAUACAUUAGCUAAUGAGAUCAAUCCAAGAAAUUUGAUAUGGCAUUGUAGGGCACCGAAAUGGGGCUUUUGCCUCCGGGUGUUUCUAAGCAAAUUCGGCUUGUAGAAACCUAAAUUGGACCCUAACGAACGCGUUGAAUAGCUCGGUUAGCAUCGACGAGCGUUACGCGAAGUUAUUGAUCGAAAACGGUACGUUUUUGUAGCAGAUAGCCGCACAGCACAGCGGGAAUACAGAGUCAAAUCAUGAGAUCGGAACUCGGAAGCCUGGAGUCAAGGAAAUAAAUCAGAAAAGAGCGAUGCGCGUUCGGAUGGUCGUCUUGAAGUCGCGCAUGAUCGGCCAAAAUCGCGCAAUCGGUUGCCCGCGGGAGGCCGGAUUGCAAUGACACAAGCAAUGGAGUGGCGUGUUAAGGGGGGUUGUUUUACCGAAGCGACUAGGUCGCCUUUAUGUCUAAGAAAUGUAAGAAAUCCAUGUUUGAUGCAUAUAAAUUAAAUAAGGCAUGAGCUAAAUAAGCUGAUUAUAUUUAUGAUGAAAUGGCUAAGAUAGACUGACAUAUAAAGAUACUAUGAAGAUAUAAACAGUCAUGAUUAGCAAUUAUGAGAUUAUAGAUGAUAAGCUUAGCAUUGUGAGAUUAUAUAUGCAUAUGAACUCUGGUUGAUAACUCUAGCUUGAUUAAGAGUAACAUUGGAAAAUGAGAUUGAUAACUCUAGAAUGAGUAGAAUGCUAAUUGGACAAUUAGUAAUGUAAUUAGAUCGAUGUGGCAUCUAACUAGUGUUAAGGAGACAUAAGUCGUGAGUAGACCUAGAAUCAAAUAGAUCGAGUGGCAUCUAACCUAGCUGUUAAUAAAAUAGGUCGUGA